UCUGACCAGCCAUGCCGCGUGAAGGAUGAAGGUCCUCUGGAUUGUAAACUUCUUUUAUGUGGGAAGAAACCACUCUUUUCUAGGGGUGUUGACGGUACCAUAGGAAUAAGCACCGGCUAACUCCGUGCCAGCAGCCGCGGUAAUACGGAGGGUGCAAGCGUUAUCCGGAUUCACUGGGUUUAAAGGGUGCGUAGGCGGAUUAGUAAGUCCGUGGUGAAAUCUCCGAGCUUAACUCGGAAACUGCCGUGGAUACUAUUAGUCUUGAAUGUUGUGGAGGUUAGCGGAAUAUGUCAUGUAGCGGUGAAAUGCAUAGAUAUGACAUAGAACACCAAUUGCGAAGGCAGCUGGCUACACAAAUAUUGACGCUGAUGCACGAAAGCGUGGGGAUCAAACAGGAUUAGAUACCCUGGUAGUCCACGCCCUAAACGAUGAUUACUCGACAUUUGCGAUAUACAGUAAGUGUCUGAGCGAAAGCAUUAAGUAAUCCACCUGGGAAGUACGACCGC
rnacentral:rRNA from 1 species